GACGAACGCUGGCGGCGUGCUUAACACAUGCAAGUCGAACGGAAAGGCCCUGCUUGCAGGGUACUCGAGUGGCGAACGGGUGAGUAACACGUGGGUGAUCUGCCCUGCACUUCGGGAUAAGCCUGUGAAACUGGGUCUAAUACCGGAUAGGAGCCAUUUUUAGUGUGAUGGUUGGAAAGUUUUUUUGGUGUAGGAUGAGCUCGCGGCCUAUCAGCUUGUUGGUGGGGUAAUGGCCUACCAAUGCGGCGACGGGUAGCCGGCCUGAGAGGGUGGACGGCCACAUUGGGACUGAGAUACGGCCCAGACUACUACGGGAGGCAGCAGUGGGGAAUGUUGCACAAUGGGAGCAAGCCUGAUGCAGCGACGCCGCGUGGGGGAUGACGGGCUUCGGGUUGUAAACUCCUUUCGCUAGGGACGAAGCUUUUUGUGACGGUACCUAGAUAAGAAGCACCGGCUAACUACGUG
rnacentral:rRNA from 1 species